rnacentral:rRNA from 1 species
CACGGGGGGCAGCAGUGGGGAAUAUUGGACAAUGGGCGAAAGCCUGAUCCAGCCAUGCCGCGUGUGUGAAGAAGGCCUUCGGGUUGUAAAGCACUUUCAGUGGGGAAGAAAGCCUUGGGGCUAAUACCCUCGAGGAAGGACAUCACCCACAGAAGAAGCACCGGCUAACUCCGUGCCAGCAGCCGCGGUAAUACGGAGGGUGCGAGCGUUAAUCGGAAUUACUGGGCGUAAAGCGCGCGUAGGCGGUCUGAUAAGCCGGUUGUGAAAGCCCCGGGCUCAACCUGGGAACGGCAUCCGGAACUGUCAGGCUAGAGUGCAGGAGAGGAAGGUAGAAUUCCCGGUGUAGCGGUGAAAUGCGUAGAGAUCGGGAGGAAUACCAGUGGCGAAGGCGGCCUUCUGGACUGACACUGACGCUGAGGUGCGAAAGCGUGGGUAGCAAACAGGAUUAGAUACCCGGGUAGUC